CAUGCGUGCCAUUAGCUAGAUGGUAAGGUAACGGCUUACCAUGGCAAUGAUGGCUAGGGGUUCUGCAAUGAAGAUCCCCCACACUGGUACUGAGACACGGACCAGACUCCUACGGGAGGCAGCAGUGAGGAAUAUUGGUCACUGGAGGCAACUCUGAACCAGCCAAGCCGCGUGAAGGAAGACUGUUCUAUGAAUUGUACACUUCUUUUGUGACAGAGUAAAGAUAGCUACGUGUAGUUGUUUGCAAGUAUGUCAUGAAUAAGCAUCGGCUAACUCCGUGCCAGCAGCCGCGGUAAUACGGAGGAUGCAGGCGUUAUCCGGAUUUAUUACGUUCAAAGGGUGUUCAGGCUGUCUGGUAAGUCAGAGGUGAAAGUCGGUUGCUUAACGAUCGAAUUGCCUUUGAAACUGUCAGACUUGAGUAUGGAUGUGGUAGGCGGAAUGUGUAGUGUAGCGGUGAAAUGCAUAGAUAUUACACAGAACUCCAAUUGCGAAAGCAGCUUACCAAACCAGCACUGACGCUGAAGCACGAAAGCGUGGGUAGCGAACAGGAUUAGAUACCCUGGUAGUCCACGCAGUAAACGAUGCUCACUCGCUGUUGGCAAUACACCGUCAGCGGCUAAGGGAAACCGAUAAGUGAGCCACCUGGGGAGUACGAUCGCAAGAUUGAAACUCAAAGGAAUUGACGGGGGCCCGCACAAGCGGUGGAACAUGUGGUUUAAUUCGAUGAUACGCGAGGAACAUUACCUGGGCUUAAAUGUGAAGUGCAUUGUUUGGAAACAGACAUUUCCUUCGGGACUCUUUACAAGGUGCUGCAUGGUUGUCGUCAGCUCGUGCCGUGAGGUGUCGGGUUAAGUCCCAUAACGAGCGCAACCCCUAUUGUUAGUUACCAGCGCGUCAAGGCGGGGACUCUAACGAGACUGCCGGUGUAAACCGCGAGGAAGGUGGGGAUGACGUCAAAUCAGCACGGCCCUUAUGUCCAGGGCUACACACGUGUUACAAUGGUCGGUACAGAGGGCAGCUAGGCAGCGAUGUCAAGCGAAUCUCGAAAGCCGAUCCCAGUUCGGAUUGGAGUCUGCAACCCGACUCCAUGAAGGUGAAUCGCUAGUAUCGCGCAUC
rnacentral:rRNA from 1 species